rnacentral:rRNA from 1 species
GGUUAAGCGACUAAGCGUACACGGUGGAUGCCCUGGCAGUCAGAGGCGAUGAAGGACGUGCUAAUCUGCGAAAAGCGUCGGUAAGGUGAUAUGAACCGUUAUAGCCGGCGAUGUCCGAAUGGGGAAACCCAGUGCAAUUCGUUGCACUAUCGUUAACUGAAUACAUAGGUUAACGAGGCGAACCGGGGGAACUGAAACAUCUAAGUACCCCGAGGAAAAGAAAUCAACCGAGAUUCCCCCAGUAGCGGCGAGCGAACGGGGAGCAGCCCAGAGUCUGAAUCAGCUUGUGUGUUAGUGGAACGGUCUGGAAAGUCCGACGGUACAGGGUGAUAGUCCCGUACACCAAAAUGCACAGGCUGUGAACUCGAAGAGUAGGGCGGGACACGUGGUAUCCUGUCUGAAUAUGGGGGGACCAUCCUCCAAGGCUAAAUACUCCUGACUGACCGAUAGUGAACCAGUACCGUGAGGGAAAGGCGAAAAGAACCCCGGCGAGGGGAGUGAAAAAGAACCUGAAACCGUGUACGUACAAGCAGUGGGAGCACCUUCGGGUGUGACUGCGUACCUUUUGUAUAAUGGGUCAGCGACUUAUAUUCUGUAGCAAGGUUAACCGUAUAGGGGAGCCGCAGGGAAACCGAGUCUUAACUGGGCGUUAAGUUGCAGGGUAUAGACCCGAAACCCGGUGAUCUAGCCAUGGGCAGGUUGAAGGUUGGGUAACACUAACUGGAGGACCGAACCGACUAAUGUUGAAAAAUUAGCGGAUGACUUGUGGCUGGGGGUGAAAGGCCAAUCAAACCGGGAGAUAGCUGGUUCUCCCCGAAAGCUAUUUAGGUAGCGCCUCGUGAACUCAUCUUCGGGGGUAGAGCACUGUUUCGGCUAGGGGGUCAUCCCGACUUACCAACCCGAUGCAAACUACGAAUACCGAAGAAUGUUAUCACGGGAGACACACGGCGGGUGCUAACGUCCGUCGUGAAGAGGGAAACAACCCAGACCGCCAGCUAAGGUCCCAAAGUCAUGGUUAAGUGGGAAACGAUGUGGGAAGGCACAGACAGCCAGGAUGUUGGCUUAGAAGCAGCCAUCAUUUAAAGAAAGCGUAAUAGCUCACUGGUCGAGUCGGCCUGCGCGGAAGAUGUAACGGGGCUAAACCAUGCACCGAAGCUGCGGCAGCGACACUAUGUGUUGUUGGGUAGGGGAGCGUUCUGUAAGCCUGCGAAGGUGUGCUGUGAGGCAUGCUGGAGGUAUCAGAAGUGCGAAUGCUGACAUAAGUAACGAUAAAGCGGGUGAAAAGCCCGCUCGCCGGAAGACCAAGGGUUCCUGUCCAACGUUAAUCGGGGCAGGGUGAGUCGACCCCUAAGGCGAGGCCGAAAGGCGUAGUCGAUGGGAAACAGGUUAAUAUUCCUGUACUUGGUGUUACUGCGAAGGGGGGACGGAGAAGGCUAUGUUAGCCGGGCGACGGUUGUCCCGGUUUAAGCAUGUAGGCUGGUUAUCCAGGCAAAUCCGGAUAAUCAAGGCUGAGGUGUGAUGACGAGGCACUACGGUGCUGAAGUAACAAAUGCCCUGCUUCCAGGAAAAGCCUCUAAGCAUCAGGUAACAUUAAAUCGUACCCCAAACCGACACAGGUGGUCAGGUAGAGAAUACCAAGGCGCUUGAGAGAACUCGGGUGAAGGAACUAGGCAAAAUGGUGCCGUAACUUCGGGAGAAGGCACGCUGGUGUGUAGGUGAAGUCCCUGCGGAUGGAGCUGAGACCAGUCGAAGAUACCAGCUGGCUGCAACUGUUUAUUAAAAACACAGCACUGUGCAAACACGAAAGUGGACGUAUACGGUGUGACGCCUGCCCGGUGCCGGAAGGUUAAUUGAUGGGGUUAUCCGUAAGGAGAAGCUCUUGAUCGAAGCCCCGGUAAACGGCGGCCGUAACUAUAACGGUCCUAAGGUAGCGAAAUUCCUUGUCGGGUAAGUUCCGACCUGCACGAAUGGCGUAAUGAUGGCCAGGCUGUCUCCACCCGAGACUCAGUGAAAUUGAACUCGCUGUGAAGAUGCAGUGUACCCGCGGCAAGACGGAAAGACCCCGUGAACCUUUACUAUAGCUUGACACUGAACAUUGAGCCUUGAUGUGUAGGAUAGGUGGGAGGCUUUGAAGCGUGGACGCCAGUCUGCGUGGAGCCAACCUUGAAAUACCACCCUUUAAUGUUUGAUGUUCUAACGUUGGCCCCUGACCGGGGUUGCGGACAGUGUCUGGUGGGUAGUUUGACUGGGGCGGUCUCCUCCCAAAGCGUAACGGAGGAGCACGAAGGUUAGCUAAUCCUGGUCGGACAUCAGGAGGUUAGUGCAAUGGCAUAAGCUAGCUUGACUGCGAGCGUGACGGCGCGAGCAGGUGCGAAAGCAGGUCAUAGUGAUCCGGUGGUUCUGAAUGGAAGGGCCAUCGCUCAACGGAUAAAAGGUACUCCGGGGAUAACAGGCUGAUACCGCCCAAGAGUUCAUAUCGACGGCGGUGUUUGGCACCUCGAUGUCGGCUCAUCACAUCCUGGGGCUGAAGUAGGUCCCAAGGGUAUGGCUGUUCGCCAUUUAAAGUGGUACGCGAGCUGGGUUUAGAACGUCGUGAGACAGUUCGGUCCCUAUCUGCCGUGGGCGCUGGAGAAUUGAGGGGGGCUGCUCCUAGUACGAGAGGACCGGAGUGGACGCAUCACUGGUGUUCGGGUUGUCAUGCCAAUGGCACUGCCCGGUAGCUAAAUGCGGAAGAGAUAAGUGCUGAAAGCAUCUAAGCACGAAACUUGCCCCGAGAUGAGUUCUCCCUGAGACUUUAAGUCUCCUGAAGGAACGUUGAAGACGACGACGUUGAUAGGCCGGGUGUGUAAGCGCAGCGAUGCGUUGAGCUAACCGGUACUAAUGAACCGUGAGGCUUAACCUU